UCUAGAAAAUUGGGCAAUGGGCGAAAGCCUGACCCAGCGACGCCGUGUGUUGGAUGAAGUCCUUCGGGAUGUAAACUACUGUCAGAGGGAACGAUGCCAACUGGUAGUAACUGCCCGGUUGGUGACGGUACUCUCAGAGGAAGCCCCGGCUAACUACGUGCCAGCAGCCGCGGUAAGACGUAGGGGGCAAGCGUUGUCCGGAUUUACUGGGUGUAAAGGGUGUGUAGGCGGUCUGGAAAGUCGGUGGUGAAAGCCUUUGUCUUAAUCAAAGAAUUGCUUCCGAAACUUCUGGACUUGAGGGCAGGAGAGGAAGAUGGAACUUCCGGUGUAGCGGUAGAAUGCGUAGAUAUCGGAAGGAACACCGAUAGCGAAGGCAGUCUUCUGGAAUGCGCCUGACGCUGAAACACGAAAGCUGGGGGAGCAAACAGGAUUAGAUACCCUGGUAGUCCCAGCCCUAAACGAUGUUCACUAGGCGUCAUCACUUUGGUGAUGGUGCCGUAGCUAACGCAUUAAGUGAAUCACCUGGGGACUACGGCCGCAAGGUUG
rnacentral:rRNA from 1 species